UCAAUAAUCUACCCACCUCAUUAAACUCUCCGAAUCAUGUGACAUUCACUCCUGACAACUUCACACUGCUGCCCCUUUGUUAUAUUCCUCAAACCCAUGGGUAUAUGUUCAAGUAAAAUAUUAAUACAGGUCUACUCACGGGAUCAAAUACCACCCAUCCCAUUACUGACUGAAAGUCACUACCAUCUUAUAGUAGUUUCAUGGCAUCUGCUAUGUGGUCUCGGCUCACGAUCACAGUACGGUUCCCAACAGUCCCUUAUUACAACGGAUGUCCUUUAUUUUUUCAUCUCUGUGCAGCAAGAUUGGGAGUUUUUGAGUGCUGCAAAAAGCAACAAGAAAUACCCUUAGUGAAUGUAGUAAGAAAUCACAAUGCACAGAACCAAACAAAAGAUAAAUGCAGGGGCCGAAAAUGAAAGGCAGACAAAGGACAGAGAGGAAUUAGCUGCUGGGAGGAAAGGAACUUUUCCCUGAUUAGGUCAGGCAACAGUGGCCUUUCCCUACUACUCCUGCAGUUGCCUUUGCCUGCAUUGGCUCCUUGAGAGGCAGCACCUCCUACCUGUGACUGACAAGGGGCUGCUAUUCCUCCAUGGCUUGUUAUGUGACUAUUCGGUUAGACUCAUCCUGCUGUUUCUCCCUUCUCCUUUCCUUCCCUAACUUGCCUUUGCUCCUAGCCCCAUUUUCAGUCUGUUCUUUGUUGUCUCUUUCUCCCCUUGCCCAUUCUGCCCCUUCUCGAGCCCCACUCCCCCUUUGCUCUCAGGUUCUGUUUCCCAUUGGCUCUAUGUAGGCUAGACUAUGCCAACUAAGUACUGCCCUGAAGAGGACAAGCAAGAGCCACCCAUCCCACGUGAAGUUGGGAGAGGGCUUGUGCAGUCAUAGUCCCUCCCCAGUUCAUAAGGGAAGCAUGCAGGCUGCCCUGUCUUUGGUUGCUCCCUACAGCAGGCCUGGGUGCUCCCUACAGCAGGCUCCCUGCGAGAGCCAAUAAGAGGGUGGACAUGGCCUUGCCUCCUUCACACCCCUUUGGACUGGUGUGUGUGCUGCCAGGAGCGCCGGAAGGGAGCAGUUCCUACAAUUGUUCCUGGCCCUAGCGUGGGCGUGUCCACUGGGGAGCAAAGGCUCCCUGUGCUAUCCCUCUGGCACAGCAGCCAAGGACAAUCUGUUCCUCUGAGUUCACACUGUCUCCUCCCCAAAGCCCAAUACCUCCCUUACAUACUCCCACACACCAACCCACUGAAGCAAUCCUCCGCCACCAAACACCCCAAUUCCUGCUCACCCCAGUUAACAGUCAUCCAUAGUGGCACCGUCGUCAGCAUCCUAGGACAGAAGCGCCUAAGCGUCGCUCUGGUCCCAGCCACACACAUCAGACCCAAAGUUAUCACACAGGGAACGUCAGAGGGAAUUUCUCAAUCUAACACUCUCUGGUAGGGAGCAAUCUCCCUCUGAGUCUCUCAGCUCAAAGUGAGGUGGGGAGAGGGAUGCAGCAAAAGCAAUACCAACCUGAGAGGAGGGUGAUGCCACCCUGGGAGGAAGGAGGAAGUUGGGAGCAACGGAUGUCCCCUAGCCAGGAGGAAGCAGAAAGAGAGCAAUACCUCCCUGGCCCACUCACCUGGAAAGCAGAGAGCUGCCACCCUGACCCAUUAGCCAUGCACCAUUUCAGUGUUAGGACCACAGUCUAACCCUUAAGCCCCAAAUCUCUGUGACCACUAUCUUUUGGGGGCAUGCAGUGAGGCUUUCAGGAUAUCAGAAGCCUUCUCCCCAUAGAUAUUGCUGAUCACUCUCACCUCUAUCUGUCCUCCUGUAGGCCCCCAAGGGACUUCUCAAACCUUGGAUUUUGGCCAAAGAAUACAAACCACUGCAAAAAUAUCAGAGAGGACUCCCCCAGGUUUCUCCUUCCUCCCAGUGGGAGGUGAUCACCCCAGUUCUCCUGAAUCGUUCUCCAACACCCUACACCCAAAGCCCAGCUGCAUUCGAAUUUCAUGUUGAAGUUGGGAGGGAGAAGGCUGGGGGUGGGAGGGAAUGUGUAAAAGAGAAAACGCUGGCAGGGAGCAGCACUGACUGUGACCUAACAAUGCAUUCCUGCCUCUAACUUCCAUGACCCUGAUAAACAACACACCAGACUUUGCUAACUGAGACAAACACACAUUCACCCUGCAUUUCUCUGCAUGUCUCUUACUCACAUCAUCACCAGAUGUAAUCCUCCCCCCACCACUGCUCCGCGUCGCCAAGGACUUUCACACACAGGCUCCAGGAAAAGACACAAGCGGCACCCCAUGGAAUCCAAAAAGUUAUUCAUCUUUGUGGUAGGCAAACCCUUACCUGUUACCC